rnacentral:rRNA from 1 species
AUUGAACGCUGGCGGCAUGCUUUACACAUGCAAGUCGGACGGCAGCGGGGUAGUGCUUGCACUACUGCCGGCGAGUGGCGAACGGGUGAGUAACAUAUCGGAACGUACCGAGCAGUGGGGGAUAACUAAUCGAAAGAUUAGCUAAUACCGCAUAUAUUCUGAGGAAGAAAGCAGGGGACCUUUGGGCCUUGCGCUGUUUGACGGCCGAUAUCUGAUUAGCUGUUGGUGGGGUAAAGGCCUACCAAGGCGACGAUCAGUAGCGGGUCUGAGAGGAUGAUCCGCCACACUGGGACUGAGACACGGCCCAGACUCCUACGGGAGGCAGCAGUGGGGAAUUUUGGACAAUGGGCGCAACCUGAUCCAGCCAUGCCGCGUGUCUGAAGAAGGCCUUCGGGUUGUAAAGGACUUUUGUCCGGGAAGAAAAGGGCGGGUUAAUACCCUGUCCUGUGACGGUACCUGAAGAAUAAGCACGGCUAACUAC